CACUUAAUUCCUGCCGCAGCCAUAAUGUCUGACAGGAUGCUCACUUCACACUCACAAGUGCAGGUGACAGUCUCCAUUCUCAGGCCUGCCUGGAGAUGCUGCGGAAGGAAGGGAUCAGACUCUAGGACUCUUAAGAAGGAAUAACUGUCAUUGCAGAGCUGGGGUUGUGGCAACCCUGAGGCAAUGUCCUAGGGCUGCAGGCUCCAGUCCUAUGCCUCUGCAUCCUCUAAGACUGUGCCCUAAAACCUCCGGUCUCAAAGAAAGAGGAUCCCGGACUGCGUGGGACAGGAGAUGCUCCAGAGACCUCUGGGUGGCUAUCUAGGCCCUGCAUUAACACAAGAAGUAAAGGGGACCGAGGACUCUGUGGGCUAGAGAGAGGGCCCGAGGGUUUGGUGUAGUUGCUGAGGCUUUAGAUUCCUGUUUCUUUCAGGAAAGUCAGAAAAGGCAAAAAGAGACCAGGCUCAGGGAAGAGCUUUAUUGCUUCCACGAGGGUGGCCUGGGACGACUGCCGCAGCCUGGGUAAGGUCCUUGGGCCUCACUUCCCUCUGGUCCAGGCUAAAGGCAGAACCCAACGACCUGGCAGUCUCGUCGCUGAAACCUAGAACAUGUAGCAAUUUGGUGAGUCCAGGCCUGGGGUAGUCCUAUGGAUCAGCUGCAGCGGUGGAGGGGAGCUCUUCCCAGCAGGCUGAGUCAGGCAUCACCCUCCUGAGCUUUAAAGCUCUUUCUGCUGUAGCCCUGGGGUGGUCUUGUUGGCUCUGAAGGGAUGGCUCCAGGGUUUCCCUAUGGGACAGCUAGGGCUGGUGAGUGGGAAUACCCCAUCUUCUCCCCAAGAAAGGCCAAACAGUGUCAUGAGCUGGAAGGGGCUGGCUUGAGGAGGGUACAGGCUGGUCAUGGCACUCCUGCCCCACAGGGAGCUCACUGGUACUCUAGUGGGCCUCUUCCUACAUGGCAAGUGGACCCAACUUGACAUCUCCAACCUUAUUUAAAAAUAAAUUAUCCCCACC